CCUACGGGGGGCAGCAGUGAGGAAUAUUGGUCAAUGGACGUAAGUCUGAACCAGCCAAGUCGCGUGAGGGAUGAAGGUUCUAUGGAUUGUAAACCUCUUUUAUAAGGGAAUAAAGUGCGGGACGUGUCCCGUUUUGUAUGUACUUUAUGAAUAAGGAUCGGCUAACUCCGUGCCAGCAGCCGCGGUAAUACGGAGGAUCCGAGCGUUAUCCGGAUUUAUUGGGUUUAAAGGGAGCGUAGGUGGCCUUUUAAGUCAGCGGUGAAAGUUUGCGGCUCAACCGUAGAAUUGCAGUUGAUACUGGGAGGCUUGAGUAUGUUUGAGGCAGGCGGAAUGCGUGGUGUAGCGGUGAAAUGCUUAGAUAUCACGCAGAACCCCGAUUGCGAAGGCAGCCUGCCAAGCCAUGACUGACGCUGAUGCACGAAAGCGUGGGGAUCAAACAGGAUUAGAUACCCGGGUAGUC
rnacentral:rRNA from 1 species